UGAUUAUUGAAAGGUGCUUGCAUCUUGAUUUAAUUUUGAACGAGUGGCGGACGGGUGAGUAACACGUGGGUAACCUGCCCUUAAGUGGGGGAUAACAUUUGGAAACAGAUGCUAAUACCGCAUAAAUCCAAGAACCGCAUGGUUCUUGGCUGAAAGAUGGCGUAAGCUAUCGCUUUUGGAUGGACCCGCGGCGUAUUAGCUAGUUGGUGAGGUAACGGCUCACCAAGGCAAUGAUACGUAGCCGAACUGAGAGGUUGAUCGGCCACAUUGGGACUGAGACACGGCCCAAACUCCUACGGGAGGCAGCAGUAGGGAAUCUUCCACAAUGGACGCAAGUCUGAUGGAGCAACGCCGCGUGAGUGAAGAAGGCUUUCGGGUCGUAAAACUCUGUUGUUGGAGAAGAAUGGUCGGCAGAGUAACUGUUGUCGGCGUGACGGUAUCCAACCAGAAAGCCACGGCUAACUACGUGCCAGCAGCCGCGGUAAUACGUAGGUGGCAAGCGUUAUCCGGAUUUAUUGGGCGUAAAGCGAGCGCAGGCGGUUUUUUAAGUCUGAUGUGAAAGCCCUCGGCUUAACCGAGGAAGUGCAUCGGAAACUGGGAAACUUGAGUGCAGAAGAGGACAGUGGAACUCCAUGUGUAGCGGUGAAAUGCGUAGAUAUAUGGAAGAACACCAGUGGCGAAGGCGGCUGUCUGGUCUGUAACUGACGCUGAGGCUCGAAAGCAUGGGUAGCGAACAGGAUUAGAUACCCUGGUAGUCCAUGCCGUAAACGAUGAAUGCUAGGUGUUGGAGGGUUUCCGCCCUUCAGUGCCGCAGCUAACGCAUUAAGCAUUCCGCCUGGGGAGUACGACCGCAAGGUUGAAACUCAAAGGAAUUGACGGGGGCCCGCACAAGCGGUGGAGCAUGUGGUUUAAUUCGAAGCAACGCGAAGAACCUUACCAGGUCUUGACAUCUUUUGAUCACCUGAGAGAUCAGGUUUCCCCUUCGGGGGCAAAAUGACAGGUGGUGCAUGGUUGUCGUCAGCUCGUGUCGUGAGAUGUUGGGUUAAGUCCCGCAACGAGCGCAACCCUUAUGACUAGUUGCCAGCAUUUAGUUGGGCACUCUAGUAAGACUGCCGGUGACAAACCGGAGGAAGGUGGGGAUGACGUCAAAUCAUCAUGCCCCUUAUGACCUGGGCUACACACGUGCUACAAUGGAUGGUACAACGAGUUGCGAGACCGCGAGGUCAAGCUAAUCUCUUAAAGCCAUUCUCAGUUCGGACUGUAGGCUGCAACUCGCCUACACGAAGUCGGAAUCGCUAGUAAUCGCGGAUCAGCACGCCGCGGUGAAUACGUUCCCGGGCCUUGUACACACCGCCCGUCACACCAUGAGAGUUUGUAACACCCGAAGCC
rnacentral:rRNA from 2 species